AAACGAUCAAGUUACUAGAUUACACUUCUUCACCAUUUUCCCAAAUGGUUUUCAACUUGCCAAACUUAUAUCAGCGAUGCUCAAACACUUGGUAGAGUAACAUUGUAGGCCAACAAUAACUGGUCCUCUUCAAAAUACUUAUUUCCUUAAUAUCCUAAUUGAGCUCAGUAGCUAGAUAGCCAAUCUCAUUCUAGAUAGAAGCAUACCGCUCUAACGGAAGUAUUAUGGAAUGAGGAAGGCAUACCAUUAAUUUAACUGGCAGCCAAUACUUCCAAGAAUAAGAACGGUAGACUUGAAUUCACAAAAGUGAAUCCCUUCUAAUACUAUGACAGUGCUCGGGAACUACAACUAUGUGUUGUUCCCGAAUAAAAUACAAUAUGGGGGGAGAAUUCCAUCCAUAGGCAAGGUCUCUUACCACACCUUGAUCACAAUUCACAUAAUUUUUUUUUAUUUCAAUCAUUCAUUAAAUUUUAAAAAUGCACAAACACACACAAUGGGAUAAGAAGCAAACAUGUGAUUGGACCUUUCAGGGGUUUUGACGGUACAUGCAACUAUAAUGUGUAGGCUCUAAAUAGCCUAACACUUGGGUGUGGACUAACGGUAAGGAAAAGCGAACAAGUUUAACAAGUGUUAUCUUAGGUAUAGGUAACGUAGAUCGGGUAACUUCAUGAGGAAGGGUAAACUAAAAUCCUAACUCUUCACAAGAACCACCAAAGCGCUAAUGAUGAAAAUGUUCCAGGAUUUCCCACACUUUGACAGUCACGACCAUUCUAUUCUUGCUAGUCACAACCAUAACGGCUCAAGGUCCUCGAUCUUGAUCUGAUGAAAUGUACACCCAAAAUCAUCCCCAAUGACUUACUUAACUCACUGCUUGAAACUGACCUAUGAUCUGCAGCGGUUGGAAAAUAAACGGUCUGCAUGACUUGGUUAACUUCUUCAGCAAUAAUAGCUUCUUUAACAUUUCCUUGAAGCUUUGAAACUCCAUGGUCUUUUAUCUACUCCAAAACUCUUGGCUAAGUUUCCAAAGAUUUUCUGUGUGAUCAUUGGCUUAUUCUCCAAACCAUAAUCGAUAAAUCAAAUUCACUCGACCACAUAUCUCAAUGCUAAAAUUGUUUUAUAUGAUUAACUCGACCUUAACCUCCUGGCAGAAACAUCUCAGUGUACCAACUCUGUAAACUGAAUGUUCAAUUGGUCCCAUACCUUGUGUAAAAAAUACUACUUCUUGAACUCAUGAAAUCUGUCCAACUCGAACUCAACUCUCUGAAGUAAUUCUUGACUCUUGACCAACAACUCAUAGCAUUCAUCUUCAAAUAGCUUGCUGCCAAAUCCUUCUUGUAAUUCUCUGAACAACGGUCACAUCAAUAUUCUGCUCUGAGUGUUGCAUCUCAAAUCUUCCUCAAGCAAAGUAUGCCUCGAACGUUUUAGUCCACCUUCAGUAUCUUGUGGUCCCACUACUUUUUUCAAUCAUACGCUUCAAGAUGUAUUGUUGCCAACAGAAAGGUGCAUGUGUGUCCAUCGUCUUGUACUACAGCCGAACCAUCUCUUCCUCCAACGCUAAGAUCCAAACAAAUGUUGAACAAUUCAUGCUUGUAUGGCUCUGGUGCCUGUAGGUCUCAGCAUAAGCUGGUUAGAAUUGAGAAGCCGGAAGACUAAGUGCAUCUGAGUGAUCAUGUGCAGUCGAAUCGUACUGAAUCGGAUCACAAACAAUGACCAACUUGACAUCGAUAACACAUGAGUCUGGAGAUGUAUUCGAUGUAUCAAAUCUGUCCCAUAUAUCUCUCUAAUGAAUUAGUAUCCCCUACGAGAACUCAAAAGAACGGCAGAAAGUCAUGUGGUUAUUGACUCCUAACAAGCCGGUAAUGAACCCCACCAUGAGGGUAGCAAACUCGAGCCUGAUGAUAGUAACAUCGGUAAGUACAGUCACCCGUUCAAGCUUGUCUCGGUGCUUAUGCUAUGAAAGAUCACUGUUAGAUAACUACCCAUGACUAUCUAUCCUAAAAUGAAGGAACCAGCCAGCAUAUCCUAGUUAUCCUUGCGACUCAUUUUGACUCGAAAAACAUUUGAAACAAGUCCCAUUCUAGCAUCGUAUAACCAUGCUCUGAUACCACCUUUGUGACACCCCCGAUCGUAGAUGACUAGAAAUGACACAGUCGAUGUUCCUCGAUGGUUGAUCCGAGGUUCUCAUAAUACUUCUGAUUGCCUUAGACCAACAACCAAAGAACACCAACACCCCUAUCAGAUAUCACACUAGGCUUUUCAACGCGAAAAAGCAAUAACUGAUAGUUAGUUCGUCCGGACAAGGACUAAUAUCAUAUGGAACCAGUAGUU